rnacentral:rRNA from 1 species
GCUAAGAAUCUUCCACAAUGGACGGAAGUCUGAUGGAGCGACGCCGCGUGGGCGAUGAAGGCCGCAAGGUUGUAAAGCCCUUUUCGGGAGGGGGAAUAAGCGCGCCAGGGAAUGGGCGCGCGAUGACGUGAAUCCCGGAAUAAGCCCCGGCUAACUACGUGCCAGCAGCCGCGGUAACACGUAGGGGGCGAGCGUUGUUCGGAAUUAUUGGGCGUAAAGGGCGCGCAGGCGGCCUGGGAAGUCUGGCGUGAAAGCACACGGCUCAACCGUGCGAUGCGCUGGAAACUCCCUGGCUAGAGUACAGGAGGGGGCAUUGGAAUUCCAGGUGUAGGGGUGAAAUCUGUAGAUAUCUGGAAGAACACCGGUGGCGAAGGCGAAUGCCUGGCCAUGUACUGACGCUGAGGCGCGAAGGUGCGGGGAGCAAACAGGUUUAGAAACCCUAGUAGUCC